rnacentral:sRNA from 17 species
CGCCGCCGCAGGGCGGCUCUCCGGGCGCCUGACGGGCUCGGCGAAUCCAGAGACGGGCACCGGUCGUGUCCGGUGCCGCUCGUAACCAUUUUGCUCCGUGGAGGAUCUGGCUAUGCGCA